rnacentral:rRNA from 1 species
GACGGAGGAUGCAAGCGUUAUCCGGAAUGAUUGGGCGUAAAGCGUCUGUAGGUGGUUUCUAAAGUCUUCUGUCAAAGAUCAGGGCUUAACCCUGGGCCGGCAGAAGAAACUUAGAAGCUUGAGUUCGGUAGGGGCAGAGGGAAUUCCCGGUGUAGCGGUGAAAUGCGUAGAUAUCGGGAAGAACACCAAUGGCGAAAGCACUCUGCUGGGCCGAUAAAAAAAAACAAAGUUUUUUUUAAGACUGACACUGAGAGACGAAAGCUAGGGGAGCAAACGGG